UCUCUCUCUCUUUUUUUAAUUUUUUUAAAUUUUUUCAUAUUUUUAAUUUAUCUAAAGGAAAAUGCAAAGAGGGAUGUAAUAUAGAGUUUUGACACUAUAGAGAUUUAUAAAAUAUUACAAAACAGCAUAUAAAAGGGAGGAAAUGCUAUUUUAAGGUAUUCACCCAUGAAAUGGCUUUUGAAAGCUGGCAAAGUAGAUAAUGCACAGUUUAGACUAUACAGCCACCACUUAAAACAAUAUAUAUUUACUAAAAUAUGUAAAGGUUUUUAAAACAAGAUUGUAUCAUUUUUUUAAAAGGUUGUACAAUAAGUGAAGACCUAUUUACAUUAUUAAAUAUCUGGCAUGAUUGCAAAAUGCAAGAUUUUUUAUGUACAUUGUCAAUUUUAAAGCUAAUUAACUCAUCUUUUCAUGCUGUAAGUACUCUGAAGAUCCAAACAGUAACAAAGUAGGAUUGCUAUAGAGAAGAACUGUGCAGAAAACACUGUAUGUUACUCUCAGCCCUUGCAAGCGUCAUUCACAUUGGAAGUUUAAACAACAAGCAGUGAGAUGGAAUCUCCAAUUUGUCCUUGUUUAUUACACCAGGAAAGUAAUAAACUUGCAUUAUGAAAUCACUUCCCAGGGUUUCAUCUUUCAAAUAUACCAUCAAAAAUCUAGAUAGUGUAAAGAAGAGAGGAACUUCCGGCAAAAAAGAAACUUAUGUGUUCUAGUUUUUUGUUUUUGUUUUUUAAUUUUUUAUUAGGUAUUUUCCUCAUUUACAUUUCCAAUGCUAUCCCAAAAGUCCCCAUACCCGCCCCCCCACUCCCCUACCCCCCCACCCCCGCCCUUUUUGGCCCUGGCGUUCUCCUGUACUGGGGCAUAUAAAGUUUGCAAGUCCAAAGGGCCUCUCUUUCCAGUGAUGGCCGACUAGGCCAUCUUUUGAUACAUAUGCAGCUAGAGACAAGAGCUCAUGUACUCACUGAUAAGUGGAUAUUAACCCAGAAACUUAGGAUACCCAAGAUAUAACAUACAAUUUGCUAAAUGCAUGAAACUCAAGAUGAACGAAGACCAAAGUGUGGACACUUUGCCCCUUCUUAGAAUUGGGAACAAAACACUCAUGGAAGGAGUUACAGAGACAAAAUUUGGAGCUGUGAUGAAAGGAUGGACCAUUUAGUGAUUGCCAUAUCCAGGGAUCCAUCCCAUAACCAGCUUCCAAAUGCUGACACCAUUGCAUACACUAGCAAGAUUUUGCUGAAAGGACCCAGAUAUAGCUGUCUCUUGUGAGACUAUGCCGGGGCCUAGCAAACACAUAAGUGGAUGCUCACAGUCAGCUAUUGGAUGGAUCACAGGGCCCCCAAUGGAGGAGCUAGAGAAAGUACCCAAGGAACUAAAGGGAACUGCAACCCUAUAGGUGGAGUUUUAGCUCUCUUAAUUGAUCUAAGAAGUGACUCUUCAAGAAGCUGCAGAGGUGAAAGUCAGAGCCUCACAGCCCAGAACAUACAGAUAACAAAGCCAGCUUCAGGCUCUUCCACAGAGCCUCUGAUCCUUGGAAGGCUACUGUUCUCCCUGGGAUUAGUCUGGUUAUAGAUUCUCACCACAUCCCAGGCAUUCUGGCUUCUCCCCCCCCCCCCCCCCCCCAAUUCAAGAGAUUCCCAUGAUUUGCUGUGCCUACCAUCCUGGUGGAAAUAAGAAACUAGAGAGAGUCUGAAAGAAAGGCCUGGGGGGUGAUGGUGAUGGAAUAAUGUGAUACCCUGAGCUUGUCAGCAACAGAGAGACAGCCAUAUACAAUGGCAUUUGUGGGUGUUGAGAGAUGAGGCGGGGACUAAGGUGUUUCAAGAAGCAACAGUGGGGUUAGGGAGGGAGUUGCCAGCAUCAGCGAUUGAAAGAAAGAUAGAUAGGCAUACUGUGUGUGUAGGAUGACGCUUUUUGAGGGAAAAUGUAAAAACCUAGCUGUCUGGUGACACAGUUCUUGGAAAUGAGCCCAGCACAUUUUUAUAUGAGGCACAAGUCUCUACAGUCAAGUGACUUCAAUCUAGUAAUCUUGGAAAAUAAAAUCUUUAAUCAGCAUUUUCUGAAAUCUUUGUCUAUUGACUUAAGUCUUUAUAAGAUUUUAAAAUUUUAUUUAAGGUUUAGCAACUUAAACUGGCUUCAGAAGAGAGAUUUUUUUUUUCUUAAAAAUACUGGCUAAGUAGAUAGUUUUCCACUGUGCUUGUAUAUUCCUGGUCCUAUAGGAGAAAACAUUUUAAACAUUUUUCUUUUUUUCCUAAAUAUUGGUUUUAUAACAUUUUUCUAUGUUGUCAAAUAUCUUGAAUAUGUAUAUGUGAUGUGUAGCCACACAAUACACUUGUCAUAAAGUUUAAUAAAUUAACCUCUUUGAACU
rnacentral:lncRNA from 1 species